UACGAAGGGGGCUAGCGUUGCUCGGAAUCACUGGGCGUAAAGCGCAUCGUAGGCGGAUCUUUAAGUCAGGGGUGAAAUCCUGGAGCUCAACUCCAGAACUGCCUUUGAUACUGAGGAUCGUUGAGUCCGGGAGAGGUGAGUGGAACUCCGAGUGUAGAGGUGAAAUUCGUAGAUAUUCGGAAGAACACCAGUGGCGAAGGGCGGCUCACUGGCCCGGUACUGGACGCUG
rnacentral:rRNA from 1 species